GGAUUGUUUCGGGUGGGC
rnacentral:miRNA from 1 species